UCCUAAGUAUAACCUGCCAGACAGGGAAACUGCGUACGGCUCAUUACACCAGCCUUAAUUUACUUGACCUUGACAACCUACUUGGAUAACUGUGGUAAUUCUAGAGCUAAUACAUGCACCAAAGCUCCGAUCCUCGCGGAGAGGAGCGCAUUUGUUCGCCACAAAACCAAGCGCCCAUCUGGGCGUCCAGUGCUGAACCAGAACAACUCAGCUGAUCGCACGGUCUUGUACCGGCGACGUGUCUUUCAAGUGUCUGCCUUAUCAACUUUCGAUGGUAGUGUACCUGACUACCAUGGUUGUGACGGGUAACGGAGGAUAAGGGUUCGACUCCGGAGAAGGGGCCUGAGAAAUGGCCACUACGUCUAAGGAUGGCAGCAGGCGCGCAAAUUACCCACUCUCAACGCGAGGAGGUAGUGACGAGAAAUAACGAGACCGUUCUCAUACGAGGCCGGUUAUUGGAAUGGGUACAAUUUAAA
rnacentral:rRNA from 1 species